UUCAGGACGGACAAUUGAUUUGGGCAUCAAUUGUAUAUAUAUGAACCAUCAUGAUAGUUCUUCU